rnacentral:rRNA from 1 species
CCUACGGGGUGCAGCAGUGAGGAAUAUUGGUCAAUGGACGCAAGUCUGAACCAGCCAAGCCGCGUGCAGGAAGACGGCUCUAUGAGUUGUAAACUUCUUUUGUACGAGGGUAAACGCAGGUACGCGUAUCUGUCUGAAAGUAUCGUACGAAUAAGCAUCGGCUAACUCCGUGCCAGCAGCCGCGGUAAUACGGAGGAUUCAAGCGUUAUCCGGAGUUAUUGGGUUUAAAGGGUGCGUAGGCGGUCGGAUAAGUCAGAGGUGAAAUCCCGGGGCUCAACCUCGGACGUGCCGCUGAUACUGUGAGGCGAGAGAGUAGUGGAGGUAGGCGGAAUGUGUGGUGUAGCGGUGAAAUGCUUAGAGAUCACACAGAACACCGAUUGCGAAGGCAGCAUACCAAGCUAAUUCUGACGUUGAGGCACGAAAGCGUGGGGAGCAAACAGGAUUAGAUACCCGGGUAGUC